UUAGAAGUUAUAAUCCCUAUUCCAUGAUAUUUUGAGCUUUUACAUAUCUUAAAGUAAAGCUAUCUUUAUAUAAAUUGAUUUUUAAUACAAAAAGCA